CAUNCUUUACACAUGCAAGUCGAACGGUAACAGGUCUUCGGAUGCUGACGAGUGGCGAACGGGUGAGUAAUACAUCGGAACGUGCCUGGUAGUGGGGGAUAACUACUCGAAAGAGUAGCUAAUACCGCAUGAGAUCUACGGAUGAAAGCAGGGGACCUUCGGGCCUUGUGCUACCAGAGCGGCUGAUGGCAGAUUAGGUAGUUGGUGGGGUAAAGGCUUACCAAGCCUGCGAUCUGUAGCUGGUCUGAGAGGACGACCAGCCACACUGGGACUGAGACACGGCCCAGACUCCUACGGGAGGCAGCAGUGGGGAAUUUUGGACAAUGGGCGAAAGCCUGAUCCAGCAAUGCCGCGUGCAGGAUGAAGGCCCUCGGGUUGUAAACUGCUUUUGUACGGAACGAAAAGCCUGGGGCUAAUAUCCCCGGGUCAUGACGGUACCGUAAGAAUAAGCACCGGCUAACUACGUGCCAG
rnacentral:rRNA from 1 species